AGCGGGUGUAGUUUAGUGGUAAAACUACAGCCUUCCAAGCUGUUGUCGCGAGUUCGAUUCUCGUUACCCGCUU
rnacentral:tRNA from 1 species